AACGAACGCUGGCGGCAGGCCCAACACAUGCAAGUCGAACGCCGUAGCAAUACGGAGUGGCAGACGGGUGAGAAACGCGUGGGAACCUUCCCAGUGGUACGGAAUAACUCAGGGAAACUUGAGCUAAUACCGUAUACGCCCCUCGGGGGAAAGAUUUAUCGCCAUAGGAUGGGCCCGCGUCGGAUUAGCUAGUUGGUGAGGUAACGGCUCACCAAGGCGACGAUCCGUAGCUGGUCUGAGCGGAUGAUUAGCCACACUGGGACUGAGACACGGCCCAGACUCCUACGGGAGGCAGCAGUAGGGAAUAUUGGACAAUGGGCGCAAGCCUGAUCCAGCCGUGCCGCGUGAGUGACAAAGGCCUUAGGGUUGUAAAGCUCUUUUGGCGGGGAAGAUAAUGACGGUACCCGCAGAAUAAGCUCCGGCUAACUUCGUGCCAGCCGCCGCGGUAAAAC
rnacentral:rRNA from 1 species